GCAUCUGUAGUGUAGUGGUUAUCAUCCUUGCCUUCCAUUCUUCAGACUGAAUAGCAAGGGACCCGAUUUCGAUUAUCGGCGGAUGCA